GCUGUUGUAGCUCAGAGGUAGAGUGUUUGUCUUGUAAACAAAAGGUUUCUGGUUCGAUUUCAGACUGCGGCA
rnacentral:tRNA from 1 species